UAAAUCUUACUACUGCUCACUCUUUGGGUCCACACUGCUUUUAUGAGCUGUAACACUCACCACGAAGGUCUGCAGCUUCACUCCUGAAGCCAGCGAGACCACAAACCCACCGGGAGGAACGAACAACUCCAGACGUGCCGCUUUAAGAGCUGUAACACUCACUGCGAAGGUCUGCAGCUUCACUCCUGAGCCAGUGAGACCACAAACCCACCAGAAGGAAGAAACUCUGAACACAUCCGAACAUCAGAAGGAACAAACUCCAGACAUGCUGCCUUUAGAACUGUAACACUCACCGCGAGGGUCCGCGGCGUCGUUCUUGAAGUCGGUGAGACCAAGAACCCAAUUCCGGACACUGGGAUUACAGGCAUGAAGAAAUGGGCACUCAGAGAGGAGAAACAUCUUGGCCAAAGCCACGUAACUAUUCCCGGGUGAAGUCUGGAUUGCGUUGCUCUCCCCUCUGGUGAACUCCUGAGGGCAGGAAGGUGUUGGGCAUAACAGAGCCAAGAUUGCAAGUCAUGCAGCCCAGGCAUGCACAAAAGAAAAAGCUUUGACCUGUAAUGACACCUAGAACCCAUGACUCCUGCCUGUGGAACCAAGAAGACUGGGACAUGAGUGGAACUUGACCACAGGAACUCUUUCAGAAGCAAGGGGUCCGUUGGAAGGAAGAUCCAGGACUAUAAUCCACCCCAACGUACCUUACCGUAAAUGGGCCAAUCUGAACCCAUCCUAUCAGACCCUGCCAAGCCAUCAUUCCCGAAUCUUUUCCUCUGCCCUCCGACCCCUUAAAACUUGCCCCAGACCCCAAAUCAAGGAGACAGACUUGAGCCUAUCUCUUUGCUGCCUGGCUACACGAUAAAGCCUUUCUUUUCUUAAAAGCCGUGGCCACAGUACUGGCUACCAUGAGCAUUCGGGCAGCAAGCCCAUUUGCUCAAUAACAUUUUUACUUUGCAAUUCUUAGCUCAGGCACAGUCCCAGAUAUUGAAGUCUACAAGGUGCUGAGACAGGGUGGGAGCAGGGAGGGAGGAGAAGGUGAUCCAGGGACUUACCAGGAUAUGGAAUAUCAUCGUAGGUAUGAUUGAGUACAUGCCUACUUUUGUCUAUGGAGAUUGACAGAAUUAUUUUAUUUCAUGCUCUCAAAACACAGCAAGGCCACAUCCUUUGCUAUAGUCAAGAAAAGGAAGCCUCAGAGAUGUUUGUUAUUCAUCCAAGGAGCAAGAAAAUCUUUUUUUAGCCCCCUUUUAUAAACAUAUUUCCCAAUUUUAAAUAUAUAUGUAUUUUUAAGUGAAUGAGAAGCAAAGAACUGGAGCAUGUGGGGACUUCCUGUGGAGUUUUACUGAGAACUGUGGCUGAAUGCAGCAAGGGGUUGAGGAAGGAUUUGUCUUGUUUUGGUUUUGCUUGGUAAAGGAAGGAAGCAUCGGGUUUUCAUGCUGCUGGGAAUGAUCUAACGGAGAGAGAGAGCGAAAAUGAUGAGACGGGAGAGGGAGGGCAGUCUUAGGGCCUGUAGCUCUGGGAGAAGCAGAGGAGACAGAACAGAGGCCUUGGCAAGGCUGAGGGCAUCAGGGGCCCCUUCAUGUGAAGCCAGUAGAAUGCAGGGGCUUGCAGGAAGCCAGCUUUUUCUUCCUCCUCACUGCCUGUUCACCCAUGGUGUGGGCUGCUUCCUCUCUGGCUGAGUGAGGUCUUGUCUUUUCUUUUCUUUUCUUUUUUUCUUUUCUUUCUUUUCUUUUCUUUUCUUUCUUUGCUUCCUUCCUUCCUUCUUUCUUUUUCUUUUUCUUUUCUUUUUUCUUUGAGACAUAGUCUCACUCUGUCGCCCAGGCUGGAGUGUAAUGGCGCAAUCUUGGCUCACUGCAACCUCCGCCUCACAGGUUCUUUUUUUUUUUUUUCUGAGACGGAGUCUUGCUGUGUCACCCAGGCUGGAGUGCAGUGGUGCAAUAUCAGCUUACUGCAAGCUCCACCUCCUGGAUUCACACCAUUCUCCUGCCUCAGCCUCCCGAGUAGCUGGGACUACAGGCGCCCACCACCACGCCCAGCUAAUUUUUUGUAUUUUUAGUAGAGAUGGGAUUUCAAUGUUAGCCAGGAUGGUCUCGAUCUCCUGACCUCGUGAUCUGCCCGCCUUGGCCUCCCAAAGUGCUGGGAUUACAGGCAUGAGCCACUGUGCCUGGCCCCGCCUCCCAGGUUCUAAGUGACACCACCAUGCUCGGCUAAUUUUGUAUUUUUAGUAGAGACAGGGUUUUACCAUGUUGGCCAGACUGGUCUCGAACUCCUGACCUCAGGUGAUCCACUCGCCUCGGCCUCCCAAAGUGCUGGGAUUACAGGCAUGAGCCACCGUGCCCAGCCUUGUCCGUAUGAGGUCUAGGGCAGAUUCUACAGCUUUUCAGCUUAUUUUGGGUAAAAACAAACAAACAAAAAAGUCCAGUCCAGACUGACAAGGAAAUCCCAAGUCCUGGUUCAAUUUGAAAGCUCUUCCCUCCUCAGCUUGGACUGGGCUUGUACACAGUGAAAGAGGAAAUGUGGCUACCUCUCUCCCUUUCCUCCCCUCUCCCAUCCACUAGCUGCUGGCUUGGGGCUGUGCGGGUGGAAGGGAGGUGGCUGACGGGCAGGAAAGGCAUUCCUUGAAUCUCCACAGUCCUUACUUGGCAUGGGGCAGAUACACCAUUCCUGAUUCUUCAAGAACCAUUUGGGUGAGUGCUUCAGAGCCUCCCAUCGCCGGGCAUUGGCCCCCAGUUUCUUGCUCACAAUCAUACAAGUCAAAUGUGAGCCAUGGACCAGCAGCAUCGCAUCACUUGUCGGAAUAGAGAUGCCAGGUGUGGCGGCAUGUACCCGUAGUCCCAGCUACUGGGGAGGCUGAGGCAGAAGGAUGGCUUGAGCCUAGAGUUCAAGACCAGUCUGGGUGACAUAGCAAGACCCUAUCUCAAAAACAGCAAAGAAAGGGAGACUCUUAGGCUCACCCACCCCUGUUGAGUGAGGAUCUGCAUUUCCACAAGCCCCCCAGGAGUGUGAUGCACAGUCAGGUCAAAAGCUCUGCCAGAGUCUUACAGUCACA